rnacentral:rRNA from 1 species
AGUGCGCGAAUAUUUUGCACAAUGGACGAAAGUCUGAUGGAGCAACGCCGCGUGCAGGAUGAAUGCCUUCGGGUUGUAAACUGCUUUUAUAUGUGACGAUUAUGACGGUAGCAUAUGAAUAAGGAUCGGCUAAUUCCGUGCCAGCAGCCCCGGGAAUGAAAU